UACGUAGGGGGCAAGCGUUGUCCGGAUUUAUUGGGCGUAAAGAGCGUGUAGGCGGCCAGGUAGGUCCGUUGUGAAAACUGGAGGCUUAACCUCCAGCUGUCGAUGGAAACCAUCUGGCUAGAGUCCGGAAGAGGAGAGUGGAAUUCCUGGUGUAGCGGUGAAAUGCGCAGAUAUCAGGAAGAACACCCGUGGCGAAGGCGGCUCUCUGGGACGGUACUGACGCUGAGACGCGAAAGCCAGGGGAGCAAACGGG
rnacentral:rRNA from 1 species